rnacentral:rRNA from 1 species
AUUGAACGCUGGCGGCGUGCUUAACACAUGCAAGUCGAUCGGUAACAGGUGUAGCAAUACAUGCUGACGAGAGGCGGACGGGUGAGGAAUAUUUGGGAAUCUGCCCAUCAGCGGGGGACAACCCGGGGAAACCCGGGCUAAUACCGCAUACGCUCUACGGAGGAAAGCCGGGGACCGCAAGGCCUGGCACUGAUGGAUGAGCCCAAAUCGGAUUAGCUAGUUGGCGGGGUAACGGCCCACCAAGGCGACGAUCCGUAGCUGGUCUGAGAGGACGAUCAGCCACACCGGAACUGAGACACGGUCCGGACUCCUACGGGAGGCAGCAGUGGGGAAUAUUGGACAAUGGGGGAAACCCUGAUCCAGCGACGCCGCGUGGGUGAAGAAGGCCUGCGGGUUGUAAAGCCCUUUCGGUAGGGACGAAAGCUCUUGCUCUAAUAAUGCAAGAGGUUGACUUAACCUACAUAAGAAGCACCGGCUAACUCUGUGCCAGCCGCCGCCGUAA